CGGCAAAAGCUCAAAUUUGAAAUCUGGUACUUUCAGUAUCCGAGUUGUAAUUUGUAGAAGCAACUUUGGUGAUGGUCUUUGCAUAAGUUCCUUGGAAUAGGACGUCAUAGAGGGUGAGAAUCCCGUUUAUGGUGAAGAACCCACACUAUGUAAAGUGCUUUCGAAGAGUCGAGUUGUUUGGGAAUGCAGCUCAAAGUGGGUGGUAAAUUCCAUCUAAAGCUAAAUAUUGGCGAGAGACCGAUAGCGAACAAGUACUGUGAAGGAAAGAUGAAAAGAACUUUGAAAAGAGAGUGAAAAAGUACGUGAAAUUGUUGAAAGGGAAGGGAUCUAAAUCAGACAUGGUAUUUUGUGAUCAACAGUCUUUCGGGACUGUGCACUCGCAUUUUACUAGGCCAGCAUCGGUUAGAAGGGGGUAAAAAAGAUUUUGGAAUGUGGCUCCUCGGAGUGUUAUAGCCAAGGUUAAUUGCCCCAUUUCUGACCGAGGACCGCGUCUUUUGACUAGGAUGCUGGCGUAAUGGUUUUGAUCCA
rnacentral:rRNA from 1 species